AGCAGCCGCGGUAAUUCCAGCUCCAAUAGCGUAUAUUAAAGUUGUUGCAGUUAAAAAGCUCGUAGUUGAAUUUCGGGAUCAAUUUGCUGGUCGUGCCUUCGGUACGCACUGGUAUUAUUGGUUUCUCCUUUCUGAUGAAUCGCGAUGUCAUUAAUUUGGUGUCGUGGGGAAUCAGGACCGUUACUUUGAAAAAAUUAGAGUGUUUAAAGCAGGCUCACGCUUGAAUACAUUAGCAUGGAAUAAUGAAAUAGGACGUUUGAUUCUAUUUUGUUGGUUUCUAGGAUCGACGUAAUGAUUAAUAGGGAUAGUUGGGGGCAUUAGUAUUCAAUUGUCAGAGGUGAAAUUCUUGGAUUUAUUGAAGACUAACUACUGCGAAAGCAUUUGCCAAGGAUGUUUUCAUUAAUCAAGAACGAAAGUUAGGGGAUCGAAGACGAUCAGAUACCGUCGUAGUCUUAACCAUAAACUAUGCCGACUAGGGAUCGGAUGAUGUUAAUUUUUAAUGACUCAUUCGGCG
rnacentral:rRNA from 1 species